GACGAACGCUGGCGGCGUGCUUAACACAUGCAAGUCGAACGGAAAGGCCCUGCUUUUGUGGGGUGCUCGAGUGGCGAACGGGUGAGUAACACGUGAGUAACCUGCCCUUGACUUUGGGAUAACUUCAGGAAACUGGGGCUAAUACCGGAUAGGAGCUCCUGCUGCAUGGUGGGGGUUGGAAAGUUUCGGCGGUUGGGGAUGGACUCGCGGCUUAUCAGCUUGUUGGUGGGGUAGUGGCUUACCAAGGCUUUGACGGGUAGCCGGCCUGAGAGGGUGACCGGGCACAUUGGGACUGAGAGACGGCCCAGACUCCUACGGGAGGCAGCAGUGGGGAAUAUUGCCCAAUGGGCGGAAGCCUGAUGCAGCAACGCCGCGUGCGGGAUGACGGCCUUCGGGUUGUAAACCGCUUUCGCCUGUGACGAAGCGUGAGUGACGGUAAUGGGUAAAGAAGCACCGGCUAACUACGUG
rnacentral:rRNA from 1 species